rnacentral:tRNA from 1 species
GAUGGUAUAGCUCAGUGGUAGAGCACAUGCUUAGAAUGCACGAGGUCCUGGGUUCAAUCCCCAGUACCUCCA